CGUGCAGAGCAGCUUGCAAGUCAUUUUCUUAGGCCCCCCUCGCCGGUCCCCAGACCGACAUGUGAGGGGGACCCGAAACACUUAGAGGGUUGUUGUACCUGGGCGG